rnacentral:tRNA from 3 species
GAGCCGUUAGCUCAGUUGGUAGAGCGCCUGACUUUUAAUCAGGGGGUCGGAGGUUCGAUCCCUCCACGGCUCACCA